rnacentral:rRNA from 1 species
UAGCUCAGUUCGGACUGUGGGCUGCAACCCGCCCACACGAAGUCGGAGUUGCUAGUAAUCCCGAAUCAGCAUGUCGGGGUGAAUGCGUUCCCGGGUCUUGUACACACCGCCCGUCAAGCCAUGGGAGUAACGGGAGUGCCCGAAGUCGGUGACCUAACCGCAAGGAAGGAGCCGCCUAAGGUAAUACCGAUGACUGGGGUUAAGUCGUAACAAGGUAGC